rnacentral:rRNA from 1 species
GACGAACGCUGGCGGCGUGCUUAACACAUGCAAGUCGAACGGAAAGGCCCCUUUCGGGGGGUACUCGAGUGGCGAACGGGUGAGUAACACGUGAGUAACCCGCCCUUGACUUUGGGAUAACUCUAGGAAACUGGGGCUAUAACCGCAGAGGAGCUCCUGCUCCACGGUGGGGGUUGGGGAGUUUGUGGGGUGGGGGGUGGACCCCCGGGUUAUCCGCUUGUUGGUGGGGUAGUGGCUUAUCCAGGCGUUGACGGGUAUCCGGCCUGGGAGGGUGAACGGCCACAAUGGGACUGAGAAUCGGCCCAGGCUCCUACGGGGGGCAGGAGGGGGGAAAAUUGCACAAUGGGUGGGAGGCUGGUGCAGCAACCCCGUGGGCGGGAUGACCGGCUUCGGGGUGUAAACCGCUUUCGCUCAGGAAGAAGCUUUGUGUGACGGUAGUGGGUAAAGAAGCACCGGCUAACUACGUG